GGAAAAAAUGAAAGCUAAAUUUUUUCAUCAAGGAAGCUAACUGUCCACCUCCCGACCCAUGCCUCUGUUCUCAUCGAUCAGUUUUGCUUUUCAUUGUCAUUGAUAUUCUCUUCCCCACAGGAGGCAGAAAUACUUAUUUUUCUCUGCCAUAAACCCUAACCAUUCACCUCCCUCACACGAUGUGUCUCCUCUCAUGGCUCGACAGACGGUGGGAUCGAUUGUCUUGGUCUCUCAGUGUCACGGACAUGCCCUGCUUAACCCAAGGCUAAAUGGAAAUCCGAGCUUGCAUGGUUGAGAAAUAUCUUCUAUUCCAUUCAUCUAUUCAUUUUUUAACUAUUGUUUAUAAAAUUUGUGUUGUUUGUGCGAUUUACAAUACCUUUUUGGUUGCAUGGAGAAUCAGGCAGAAUAUGAAAUUAUACUCAAUCAUGGUAUUUACUGCUUAUUAUCUGUUUUGUGAAUGCCAAUCAGGAGUCUGUGGUAUCUAAAAGCGAAAUACUAUUAUUUUUGUCCAGGAAUUUUGUGCUGGGAAUAAGGAUUUGGAUAAGUUACAGACUGACGCAGUGUCAUUUGUUUGUGCAUUGAUGCCUUGGAGUAGCUCUGUGGAGAUUAAAACAACUCCUGGUAUGUAUCUGAGUGCAGAUAAAAUCUCCAAUCCUACACUGUAAUUGGACUUGAAUUCAAGACUCCCAAAUUGAAAUCCUAAAAUCAAAUCACUGUAUAUACCUUGCAAAAAGAUCUUUCAAAAUUUUCUGACCGUUUUCAAAUGAUCAAUACAAAAAUUUGAAAUGGGAUAUUUAUGUUUCUGGUCUGGACUCCGUUUUGUAAUGUUGAAACUCUCUCUCUCUCUCUGUGGUGGUGGGGUACAGUUGUUCAACUUUCCAAAGUGUAGUUUUUAAUUGGUAAUUAUUAAAGUAUAGGGUAAUUGAAAAAAUAUGAAAGUAAAUGAUUUUUUUGGUAAUUUCCCCUUAUUAUUAUUGCAUUUUAACUUUCUUCAAUUUUAGAUUAUUAAAAUUAUUAUUUUAGUCUAUAUUAGAUGCUAUGUAAGAUGAGUCACAUGUGAUUUAGAGUUUUAGGAAUAUUCCAGGUGGGGACACUGAUGCUUUUAGUCAUGAUAUGAAAGUUAUUCCAGGUCUUGGCAGUCACGUUUGGAAGAUUUGUUAUCCCUUCUUUGAAUUUCAGUCAGACAAGUUAACCUGUCUGAUUUCCUUUAGCAUUGGCUGACAGAGAUCAUAGGGGUUAGGUAGUGGAAAUCCCUGGCAUAUAAUAUUCCGUUUAUUGCUUUAGCUUGUGGAAAUGUAUAUCAUGUAUAAUAUAAUUGGAUGUAUUCCUGAGGGAUCAGUUGGAGAAUCAGCUGCAAAGGGUAUGAAUAUUUUCUGAAUUUGAUAACUUCUUUCUCAUUCAUUUUUAUGAUAAUUGAUAGUCUUUUAACAUGUUUUUAAAUGCCUUAAUAUUUCAAUGAAUAUCAUAAUAAUUAGGCUUCGCAUGCCAGAAGCCCAGUGAAAAUCAAGAAACAGUGCACGUAGCUUGUGUAGGUUGGGUCUCUUUCCUCCACACUUCUCAAAUCUUCCUUCAUAGGUACAAGCACUUCACCCAGCAUUGCGUUAUACAAGCCAAGCGCAGCUCUUAUACGUCUUAAAAAAGCUAUGUAGGCUUCUACUUCUAUACUUGAAAGUGGCUUGAGAUGUAGCUGCAAAGAGAAAAAACUAAAUUCUCUUGUUGUAAAAUAAACGGUCAAAUUAAGUAAAUAUUACUUAUGUCAAGAAAGUUUUAUUGAAAUAUUGUUACAGCAAGAUCACAGGUGCAGAGGCCAAGGGCCUCAUCACACCAGCAAAGGUUAGUUUUUGUUUUGAAAAUGACUUUCUUAAUAAAUCGGUGGUUCUCAUAAUAGUGGAGGCAAGGAUGUCUCAUCGUACCUUUGCCAAUGGAUUUUGGUUAGGACUAUUAAUUCCUUAAAUAGAUUUUGUUAUUUUACAUUGUAGCCUUCUUUAUUGAUUUUUUAUGCUGAUCAUAAUUAAACUUUAUAUUUUUCAUUUUAAAAAAUCCAAGUUAACUUUAUAACCAAAAUAAAUUAAGCAUCUAUAGAUUUAAUGUGAUAAUAAAUUUUUAAAAUUUAAAUAAAUUUUAAUUUUUUCAUUUAAAUAAAUAUUGAAAAAAACAUAAAAAAAUCAAGGGUUACCACUUCGCUCUUUUGCCUCAUUGACCCUUUUCUCUUUCACCUUUUCACUGAUUCUAUCUUAGCUGCAUUCCCCUUUUAGGGACAAUGUCAUAUCUUUCUUUGGGGCAGGAGAUUGAGAAGGAUAGAGAAAAGGUGCAUCUUUGGGUUCGAUCGCAGCGGGAACUAGCCUAGAGGCUCCUGAAUUUGCUCCUAUUUGCCAGUCAAUUGAUAUGCACUGUUUUGCUGUGGAUCCAGUACACAAGGAUUGGACCAGAUUUUUUUGGAGUCUAGACAAGGCUACACUCUGCAUGGAAGGGCUUACUACCAGUGUUGGCAUGCUAUGAGGUUUGGCUCGAGUGUUGAAGCUUAAAUUAUGUCCAGUGCUAAGCUUACUAGAUAAUGCUAUUAGAAUCUUAAACAAUUUUUUCCCUAUUAUGAGAACUCCUUGUGCUCUCUCCAGAGCUGAAGUGAAACCAUCAUAUUUGCUGUUUUAUGCAUUGCGGAAAUUGUUGAGCCAGCCUGUUAUGACUUUUAAUUUAUAGUUUAAUUGUUUUUCAGAAGAUAUGUGUUAUAGACGAACCAUGUAAUUUGUAUUUUUCCUAUAAUUUGAUGCAGAUGCACACUUAUUAAUCCUA